rnacentral:rRNA from 1 species
UAGGGAAUCUUCCGCAAUGGGCGAAAGCCUGACGGAGCAACGCCGCGUGAGUGAUGAAGGUCUUCGGAUCGUAAAACUCUGUUAUUAGGGAAGAACAAAUGUGUAAGUAACUAUGCACGUCUUGACGGUACCUAAUCAGAAAGCCACGGCUAACUACGUGCCAGCAGCCGCGGUAAUACGUAGGUGGCAAGCGUUAUCCGGAAUUAUUGGGCGUAAAGCGCGCGUAGGCGGUUUUUUAAGUCUGAUGUGAAAGCCCACGGCUCAACCGUGGAGGGUCAUUGGAAACUGGAAAACUUGAGUGCAGAAGAGGAAAGCGGAAUUCCAUGUGUAGCAGUGAAAUGCGCAGAGAUAUGGAGGAACACCAGUGGCGAAGGCGACUUUCUGGUCUGUAACUGACGCUGAUGUGCGAAAGCGUGGGGAUCAAACAGG